rnacentral:rRNA from 1 species
CAGCCCCUCGAGUGGUGGGGAUGAUGAUUUGGCCUAAAGCGUCCGUAGCCGGCCGUGUAAGUUUCCCGUUAAAUCCAGCGUCUCAAGCGUUGGACUGCGGGAAAUACUGUACGGCUAGAGAGUGGGACAGGUCAGCGGUAUUCUGGGGGUAGGGGCGAAAUCCUUUGAUCCCCGGAGGACCACCAGUGGCGAAGGCUGCUGACUAGAACACGUCUGACGGUCAGGGACGAAAGCUGGGGGAGCAAACCGGAUUAGAUACCCGAGUAGUCC